UACGUAGGGCGCAAGCGUUGUCCGGAAUUAUUGGGCGUAAAGAGCUCGUAGGCGGUCUGUCACGUCGGAUGUGAAAGCCCGGGGCUUAACCCCGGGCCUGCAGUGGGUACGGGCAGACUAGAGUGCGGUAGGGGGAGACUGGAAUUCCUGGUGUAGCGGUGAAAUGCGCAGAUAUCAGGAGGAACACCGGUGGCGAAGGCGGGUCUCUGGGCCGAUACUGACGCUGAGGAGCGAAAGCGUGGGGAGCGAACAGG
rnacentral:rRNA from 1 species